AGCGAACGCUGGCGGCAGGCCUAACACAUGCAAGUCGAACGAACCUUUCGGGGUUAGUGGCGGACGGGUGAGUAACACGUGGGAACGUUCCUUUAGGUUCGGAAUAACUCAGGGAAACUUGUGCUAAUACCGAAUGUGCCCUUCGGGGGAAAGAUUUAUCGCCUUUAGAGCGGCCCGCGUCUGAUUAGCUAGUUGGUUGAGGUAAUGGCUCACCAAGGCGACGAUCAGUAGCUGGUCUGAGAGGAUGAUCAGCCACAUUGGGACUGAGACACGGCCCAAACUCCUACGGGAGGCAGCAGUGGGGAAUCUUGCGCAAUGGGCGAAGGCCUGACGCAGCCAUGCCGCGUGAAUGAUGAAGGUCUUAGGAUUGUAAAAUUCUUUCAACGGGGACGAUAAUGACGGUACCCGAAGAAGAAGCCCCGGCUAACUUCGUG
rnacentral:rRNA from 1 species